CGUGUAUGUACCCCGAACAUUGUCUACCGCUCUACAUGGCACAGAGAGUCUUCGUGCUGAGCUCGUCUGAAUGAAGGCCCUGACCCGGGCUUACACCCGUGGACUCUGCACAGAAGAUAAGAUUAGAUCAUGACCCCGGGUGCAGCCCAUGUACUUGCUCACGUUGUCGGACAGGUAGAUCAUGUCCCCCUCAGUGGACAGGACCAUCAGGAACCCCUCCAGGAUCCUCAGGUACAUGUCCGACUCCUCCGAGGCCUCGACCUCCUCCGCUUCCUUCUCCCCGUCGCACUCUGGCUGAUCCUCCCCGCCUUCCUUCACCGGAGCAUAUUUUACUGCGUGACCAGCCUCUGUUUUAGUCCCCGUCCUGCCUGAAACACAUAAAAAAAAGGAGGCGUCUCUGUCAGGUGUCAUUGUGCACGUCGAGACGAGAGGGGUGGCGACGGCGGCGGGAGCUUGCAGCACGGCGGGGAACCUCCACGCUUCAAUUUGCACCGUCGCAGGUAGCCGAGUUAAUCAGAGAGGCAAUUAGUGGUGCCAAAUGUCAGAAGGCAAGUGGCUGAGCGGUGAGUGUCUCCUCCUCCUUCUCUCCCCCCUCUGCAUGCAUCACCUCUACACAAACUGAGCACGAUGAUAGGUCAGCAUCACCCUCCCCUUCUUCCUCCCUCCCUCCCUCCCUCCCACCCACCACUCCAACCUCUCCUCUCACAAACUUAAAAGCAUUCCACGUAAAAAAAACAGAACAAAACAAAACAAAAAAAGCAGAUCUGCUGCAGCAGGAAACGGGAAGGCAAAGAUGACACACAGGAGUCUGGGAGUGAUGUAGACAGCUCAGUGUUUUAUUGGAAUCAGACCAGACAGGACUAGCCUGGCUGUUGCACUACAUUUUGGCACAGAGUAAGAUAGAUGUGACCAGGAACAGCCCUACCCCUGGGUGCACGAAGCUUCACUACACACCGACUCUACUGCACACAGAGCAAACCAGCUCGCCUUCAGAUCACUGUACAGUACACGCGACAACAGUCCUUCUCUGUGUGUGUGUGUGUGUGUGUGUGUGUGUGUGUGUGUGAUUGAGAGUGAGAAAGAAGAGAGAGGAGGGAGGAGUCUGUGUGUGUGUGUGUGCGUGUGUGUGUGUGUGUGUGUCUUUGAAAUAAGAGGUAAUUCAGCUGCUGGUUUUCCACAUUUCUUUUCACCCGGCUGUAACAGACCUAUGAUAGUAUAGUUAUAGUAUAAUACACAAAGGUUUCCUCCAGAUACACUUUACAAUAAUAAUAAUUAUUAUAAUAAAAAAGAAUGAAAGAAAGAAAGAAAGAGAGCAAUAAGAAAAAGAAAAAAAGCCAUUCUUGAAAAAAAAACAAGCAAACAAGUCAGAAAAGCAGAGAGUGAUUUUUGGCUGAGUGAGACGGCUGCUGGAGGCGGGGGAGGCGGAGGGGAAGGGGAAUUGGUGCUUUGGAGGAAAAGGGAGGGGAGGGGGGGUGAAGAUAAACACUGAUGGUAACUAUAGAAACAGAAAUGCUGAAGACAAAAAGUCACACACUCACGGGGAGAGGAGGGAGGAGGGGAAUAAAACCACGCAUUCACACGUACGAAAAAUGUACAUUCACGACAAAAUAACGCCCACGCGCCAGCACAUUCACGCCGGCAGGACAGACACGGACUCUGAGACUAGCAGAUGGAUGAAGUAGCUGGAAAAAUCGGGCUCUUUUUUUUUUUUUUCUUCUUCUUUUUUUAAAACUGCUACACAGGCCGCCUGUAACACUCUCCGCUCCGCAUAAUUAGUUUCGAUAGCCUGUAACUUGUAAAGCUCGACAUUCAGUUUGUGCACACGAGACGGGAACUGUCGCAUGAUGAGAGCAAAAAAAAAAAAAAAAAA